GUGCUUGCUUCAGCAGCACAUAUACUAAAAUUGGAACAAUACAGAAAAGAUUAGCCUGGUCCCCGCUCCAGGAUGACUUGCAAAUUUAUGAAGCAUUCUGUAUUUAA